GAUGAACGCUAGCGGCAGGCUUAAUACAUGCAAGUCGAGGGGUAGCAAGAUUGUAGCAAUACAAUUGUUGACGACCGGCAAACGGGUGCGGAACACGUACACAACCUUCCUACAAGUGGGGAAUAGCCCAGAGAAAUUUGGAUUAAUACCCCGUAACAUAGCGAUGUGGCAUCACAUUGCUAUUAUAGCUUCGGCGCUUGUUGAUGGGUGUGCGGCUGAUUAGAUAGUUGGCGGGGUAACGGCCCACUAAGUCUACGAUCAGUAGCUGAUGUGAGAGCAUGAUCAGCCACACGGGCACUGAGACACGGGCCAGACUCCUACGGGAGGCAGCAGUAAGGAAUAUUGGACAAUGGACGCAAGUCUGAUCCAGCCAUGCCGCGUGAAGGAUUAAGGUCCUCUGGAUUGUAAACUUCUUUUAUAAGGGACGAAAAAAGGUCUUUCUAGAUCGUCUGACGGUACCUUAUGAAUAAGCACCGGCUAACUCCGUGCCAGCCGCCGCGGUAAUAC
rnacentral:rRNA from 1 species